GCCCGGUUAGCUCAGCCGGUAGAGCGUUGGACUUUUAAUCCAACGGUCAAAGGUUCACGUCCCUUAUCGGGCU
rnacentral:tRNA from 1 species